GAUGAAGAACGUAGCGAAAUGCGAUAAGUAAUGUGAAUUGCAGAGUUUUGUGAAUCAUCGAAUCUUUGAACGCACAUUGCGCCCCUCGGUAUUCCGACGGGCAUGCCUGUCCGAGCGUCGUUUGCAACCCAUCGAGUAACACUUCUCGGUCUUGGGCGCCGUCCCGACCCCCUCGCGGGGGGGACGCGCCCCAAAGCCCUCGGCGGCCCUUGGGCGCCCGCCGGAGCGUCUUCGAAAGCACUCGCUCCGCGCUGGCGCGCCCGGGACCGGCCGGCACCGCGGCCCCUCCGGCCGCGACCCCCCACCAAACGUUUGACCUCGAAUCAGGUAGGGCUACCCGCUGAACUUAAGCAUAUCAAUAAGCGGAGGA
rnacentral:misc_RNA from 1 species